UGUACUGGUACUGGCAGAGGGAGCAGCGGGCACGAGAGAUGAAGAGGGUUUUCCACCGCGCGGUUUCUUGGGGUCAGGCGGAAACCCUCUUCUCCUCCAGUCCACGCCGGCCGUGAGGAGGGUUCCGUCGCUCCGGUAUGCCGGCGGCAGCGACCCCGUCCCCGUCCCCUUCGCUCAGGAGUCGGCUCUGGCAUCAGUUUUUGCAACCAACCAUGGUUUGGAGCUUCCUCUUGGAUAGUGGAUGACACAAGAGCUGUUUCUUCCUACAAACAACUGUCCAGUGAUGGAAAACUUAGUAUGCACAGAUUCUGGGAUUCUUCUUGAAUUCCAUGACCCUUAUUUUAAUAGAUUCUGAAACGCAUCCAUAGGUGGUAAUACCGUCUUCUUAUUGGGUCCCAAAGCUCAGUAUCUGCUGUGCAAAAUCAUGAGGCUGAGUGUGGAUUGUCAUGUAAUAGAUAAUACAAAGUUUGUGGGCCAUGGUUUCAUGACAUUUCCUACAAUUUUCAGUGUUUUUGGUCAACCAACAUUAGAUUUUGAAUCCUGAUAUAUAUAACAUUGUACUUUAUGACCGUAUAAUAAUCAAAUUGUGACAUUUGUAUCUGAACUGUACUA